GGCGCUAUCGUCUAUCGGUUAGGACAGCGGGUUUUCAUCCCGUAAAGCGGGGUUCAACUCCCCGUAGCGUCACCA
rnacentral:tRNA from 1 species